rnacentral:rRNA from 1 species
GAUGAACGCUAACGGCAGGCCUAAUACAUGCAAGUCGGACGGGAUUUGGGAGCUUGCUCCUAAUGAGAGUGGCGCACGGGUGCGUAACACGUAUGUAACCUACCUUAAUCAGGGGGAUAGCCUCUCGAAAGAGAGAUUAACACCGCAUAAUAUAUUUUUAUGGCAUCGUAGAAAUAUCAAAUAUUUAUAGGAUUAAGAUGGGCAUGCGGAACAUUAGCUAGUUGGUAAGGUAACGGCUUACCAAGGCUACGAUGUUUAGGGGAUCUGAGAGGAUGACCCCCUACACUGGUACUGAGACACGGACCAGACUCCUACGGGAGGCAGCAGUAAGGAAUAUUGGUCAAUGGGCGCAAGCCUGAACCAGCCAUGCCGCGUGCAGGAAGACGGCCCUAUGGGUUGUAAACUGCUUUUGUACCGGAAUAAACCCUUUUACGUGUAAAAGGCUGAAUGUACGGUAAGAAUAAGGAUCGGCUAACUCCGUGCCAGCCGCCGCCGUAA